UACAGAGACUGCAAGCGUUAUUCGGAUUCACUGGGCGUAAAGGGUGCGCAGGCGGUCGCGUGUGUCAGGUGUGAAAUCUCGGGGCUUAACUCCGAAACUGCGCCUGAAACUACGUGACUAGAGCAUUGGAGAGGGUAGCGGAAUUCACGGUGUAGCAGUGAAAUGCGUAGAUAUCGUGAGGAACACCAGAGGCGAAGGCGGCUACCUGGACAAUUGCUGACGCUCAGGCACGAAAGCGUGGGGAGCAAACAGG
rnacentral:rRNA from 1 species